rnacentral:rRNA from 1 species
UACGUAGGGUGCAGGCGUUAAUCGGAAUUACUGGGCGUAAAGCGUGCGCAGGCGGUUUGCUAAGACAGGUGUGAAAUCCCCGGGCUCAACUUGGGAACUGCAUUUGUGACUGCAUCGCUGGAGUGCGGCAGAGGGGGAUGGAAUUCCGCGUGUAGCAGUGAAAUGCGUAGAUAUGCGGAGGAACACCGAUGGCGAAGGCAAUCCCCUGGGCCUGCACUGACGCUCAUGCACGAAAGCGUGGGGAGCAAACAGG